CGAUGAAUUUCUUCAAGAGACUGACAUGAAAUACUGGGUGGAGUCUUGAUGAGGCUGGGCAAUUGAAGACUGCCUAUAUGGCUGCAAUUUGAGGUACUGGGCCAUCCGGUUGGGCUUAUCCUCCUUGUUCUGGCUGACUUUAGCCUGCUUCAACCCAUCAGGUAA